CUUACCCACUGCAGUGAGACAGGGAAACGAGGUCAGUCCAGCUGUGACGUCACUGACGUCAACAAUCUGCACAUUAAUGUGACAAAACAACAGUCAUGAGGAGUGUGAUGCAGCAGUGAGACUCGCACCUUUCCCGCACUCUGCGCACAGGAAGUCUCGGAUGUCGUCGUGAACCCUGAGGUUCCCGAUACUGUUGAAGAUUCGGCCACAGAUUUCACACGGAUGGAUGUACCUUUAGGACAGAUGA